rnacentral:piRNA from 1 species
UGAAAGGAUGCCCAGAAAGGCUUCAGGGU